GGGGUUCCUGGAGAGCUCCGUCAGAUGGACAAAUUCGAGAUGAAGGGUCCCGAACUCAGCCAGGAUGCUGCUUCCAGCGGAGGCCCAUCCCCAGCUCCAACUGGUGCCACUGCAACAGAGACAACAUCCCAACAGGGAUGGAGGACGGAUGGAGGUGAAGGCUGGUGCUGAGACUCACCUCCCCAGGUUGAUGACUCCACGGGGGAUUCCUGUUGGCGUGUUGAAGGCAGGCAGCAGCUUCUCUCCCAGCUCCAAUACUUUGCUCUUGAAAACCUGCAAAGAAAAGAAGGAGACGACUUAGAAAAUGGACACAUAGGAGGCACCUGGCACUGCUAUGGCUUAUUUCAUACAGCAGAGGGACGUGAGAAGAGCUCACCUGCCUUUGUAGGAGGGAGAAAAAGCAGGAAUGGUGGUAGCUGGCAGAUCCUGUGAGCACCCAGUUUGAGGUGGCAGACGUGUCACAUUGUGAGGGCAGCUACCUGCUUGGCAGCUGUGAACCGUCUCACAGCCGCUCUGUUUGUCACUUGCCUUCUCUUUCUUUGUUUUUCCCUCUCGGUAUGACUUCUUACUCCACUGAUUCACCAAUUUGCCAUCGCCUCAAACAUCCUAAUUACCAGACAGAUACCGAAACAGCUUAAAUGCUUACUCACACGUAAAAAGUCAGAGAAUAAAACAACAUUGGAGAGGCCAUUAGACGCUUGCAUUCAGUCGAGUGCGCAGAGAGGAGAAGCCGUUUUCACCUGCAGACGGCAAUUAAAGUGAGUG